UAGAGUUUGUUCAUGGCUCAGAACGAACGCUGGCGGCGUGCCUAACACAUGCAAGUCGAGCGCGAAUAGGGGCAACCCUUAGUAGAGCGGCGCACGGGUGCGUAACACGUGGAUAAUCUGCCUGGAUGCCUGGGAUAACCAGUCGAAAGAUUGGCUAAUACCGGAUAAGCCCACGGUUUCUUCGGAGACUGAGGGAAAAGGUGGCCUCUGUAUACAAGCUAUCACAACCAGAUGAGUCCGCGGCCCAUCAGCUAGUUGGCGGGGUAAUGGCCCACCAAGGCAACGACGGGUAGCUGGUCUGAGAGGACGAUCAGCCACACUGGAACUGAGACACGGUCCAGACUCCUACGGGAGGCAGCAGUGGGGAAUUUUGCGCAAUGGGCGAAAGCCUGACGCAGCAACGCCGCGUGUGUGAUGAAGGUCUUUGGAUUGUAAAGCACUUUCGACCGGGACGAAACCGUAAAGCCUAAUACGCUUUGCCUUGACGGUACCGGGAGAAGAAGCACCGGCUAACUCUGUGCCAGCAGCCGCGGUAAUACAGAGGGUGCAAGCGUUGUUCGGAAUUAUUGGGCGUAAAGCGCGUGUAGGCGGCUUUGCAAGUCGGGUGUGAAAGCCCUCAGCUCAACUGAGGAAGUGCGCCCGAAACUGCAGAGCUUGAGUGCCGGAGAGGGUGGCGGAAUUCCCCAAGUAGAGGUGAAAUUCGUAGAUAUGGGGAGGAACACCGGUGGCGAAGGCGGCCACCUGGACGGUAACUGACGCUGAGACGCGAAAGCGUGGGUAGCAAACAGGAUUAGAUACCCUGGUAGUCCACGCCGUAAACGAUGAGAACUAGGUGUCGUGGGAGUUGACCCCCGCGGUG
rnacentral:rRNA from 1 species